ACCUGAGUAGCUCAGUCGGUUAAGCAUCUGACUUUGACUCAGGUCAUGAUCUCAUGGUUCAUGGGUUCAAACCCCACGUCAGGCU
rnacentral:tRNA from 1 species